CGUAGGGGGCAAGCGUUGUCCGGAUUCAUUGGGCGUAAAGAGCUCGUAGGCGGCCUGUCGCGUCGGUUGUGAAAGCUCGGGGCUCAACCUCGAGACGCCGGUGGAAACUGCAAAGCUAGAGUCCGGAAGAGGAGAGUGGAAUUCCUGGUGUAGCGGUGAAAUGCGCAGAUAUCAGGAAGAACACCCGUGGCGAAGGCGGCUCUCUGGGACGGUACUGACGCUGAGACGCGAAAGCGUGGGGAGCGAACAGG
rnacentral:rRNA from 1 species